rnacentral:rRNA from 1 species
GACGAACGCUGGCGGCGUGCUUAACACAUGCAAGUCGAACGAAGAGCGAUGGAAGCUUGCUUCUAUCAAUCUUAGUGGCGAACGGGUGAGUAACGCGUAAUCAACCUGCCCUUCAGAGGGGGACAACAGUUGGAAACGACUGCUAAUACCGCAUACGAUCUAAUCUCGGCAUCGAGGAUAGAUGAAAGGUGGCCUCUAUGUAUAAGCUAUCACUGAAGGAGGGGAUUGCGUCUGAUUAGCUAGUUGGAGGGGUAACGGCCCACCAAGGCGAUGAUCAGUAGCCGGUCUGAGAGGAUGAACGGCCACAUUGGGACUGAGACACGGCCCAGACUCCUACGGGAGGCAGCAGUGGGGAAUCUUCCGCAAUGGACGAAAGUCUGACGGAGCAAUGCCGCGUGAGUGAUGACGGCCUUCGGGUUGUAAAGCUCUGUUAAUCGGGACGAAAGGCCUUCUUGCGAAUAGUUAGAAGG